UACGGGGGGGGCAAGCGUUGUUCGGAAUUACUGGGCGUAAAGGGCUCGUAGGCGGCCAACUAAGUCGGAUGUGAAAUCCCCAGGCUUAACCUGGGAACUGCAUCCGAUACUGGAUGGCUUGAAUCCGGGAGAGGGAUGCAGAAUUCCAGGUGUAGCGGUGAAAUGCGUAGAUAUCUGGAGGAACACCGGUGGCGAAGGCGGCAUCCUGGACCGGUAUUGACGCUGAGGCGCGAAAGCCAGGGGAGCAAACGGGG
rnacentral:rRNA from 1 species